AUUGAACGCUGGCGGCAGGCCUAACACAUGCCAGUCGAACGGUAACAGGAAGCAGCUUGCUGCUUCGCUGACGAGUGGCGGACGGGUGAGUAAUGUCUGGGAAACUGCCUGAUGGAGGGGGAUAACUACUGGAAACGGUAGCUAAUACCGCAUAACGUCGCAAGACCAAAGAGGGGGACCUUAGGGCCUCUUGCCAUCGGAUGUGCCCAGAUGGGAUUAGCUAGUAGGUGGGGUAACGGCUCACCUAGGCGACGAUCCCUAGCUGGUCUGAGAGGAUGACCGGCCACACUGGAACUGAGACACGGUCCAGACUCCUACGGGAGGCAGCAGUGGGGAAUAUUGCACAAUGGGCGCAAGCCUGAUGCAGCCAUGCCGCGUGUAUGAAGAAGGCCUUCGGGUUGUAAAGUACUUUCAGCGGGGAGGAAGGGAGUAAAGUUAAUACCUUUGCUCAUUGACGUUACCCGCAGAAGAAGCACCGGCUAACUCCGUG
rnacentral:rRNA from 1 species